GACGAACGCUGGCGGCAUGCCUAAUACAUGCAAGUCGAGCGAACAGAUGAAGUGCUUGCACUUCUGACGUUAGCGGCGAACGGGUGAGUAACACGUAAGGAAUCUACCUAUAAGCGGGGGAUAACAUUCGGAAACGGGUGCUAAUACCGCAUAAUAUCUUCUUCCGCAUGGAAGGAGAUUGAAAGACGGCUCUGCUGUCACUUAUAGAUGACCUUGCGGUGCAUUAGUUAGUUGGUGGGGUAACGGCCUACCAAGACGAUGAUGCAUAGCCGACCUGAGAGGGUGAUGGGCCACAUUGGGACUGGGACACGGCCCAAACUCCUACGGGAGGCAGCAGUAGGGAAUCUUCCGCAAUGGGCGAAAGCCUGACGGAGCAAUGCCGCGUGAGUGAAGAAGGCCUUCGGGUCGUAAAACUCUGUUAUAAGAGAAGAACAAAUUGUAGAGUAACUGCUACAGUCUUGACGGUGUCUUAUCAGAAAGCCACGGCUAACUACGUGCCAGCCGCCGCAGUAA
rnacentral:rRNA from 1 species